UGUGGUUGCUGUUCUGUGGUUGUCCAUUC
rnacentral:piRNA from 1 species